rnacentral:rRNA from 1 species
AUUGAACGCUGGCGGCAGGCCUAACACAUGCAAGUCGAACGAGUGGCGGACGGGUGAGUAAUGUCUGGGAAACUGCCCGAUGGAGGGGGAUAACUACUGGAAACGGUAUCUAAUACCGCAUACCAUCUGAUUUGCCCAGAUGUGAUUAGCUAGUAGGUGGGGUAACGGCUCACAUAGGCGACGAUCCCUAGCUGGUCUGAGAGGAUGACCAGCCAAACGGGAACGGAGACACGGUGCAGACUCCUACGGGCGGCAGAAGUGGGGAAUAUUGGACAAUGGGCGAAAGCCUGAUGCAGCAAUGCCGCGGGUAUGAAGAAGGCCUUCGGGUUGUAAAGUACUUUAAGCGAGGAGGCGUUACUCGCAGAAGAAGCACCGGCUAACUCCGUGCCAGCAGCCGCGGUAAUAC